GUUGGGUAGGGGAGCGUUCUGUAAGCCUGCGAAGGUGUACUGUGAGGUAUGCUGGAGGUAUCAGAAGUGCGAAUGCUGACAUAAGUAACGAUAAUGCGGGUGAAAAACCCGCACGCCGGAAGACCAAGGGUUCCUGUCCAACGUUAAUCGGGGCAGGGUGAGUCGACCCCUAAGGCGAGGCUGAAAAGCGUAGUCGAUGGGAAACGGGUUAAUAUUCCCGUACUGGUGGUAACUGCGAUGGGGGAACGGAGAAGGCUAGGUUGUCCGGGCGACGGUCGUCCCGGUUCAAGCAGGUAGGCAGAGUGAUUAGGCAAAUCCGGUCACUUAAUGCUGAGAUGUGAUGACGAACCACCAAGGUGGUGAAGCAAUUGAUGCCCCGCUUCCAGGAAAAGCCUCUAAGCUUCAGGUUACCAACAAUCGUACCCCAAACCGACACAGGUGGUCAGGUAGAGAAUACUCAGGCGCUUGAGAGAACUCGGGUGAAGGAACUAGGCAAAAUGGUGCCGUAACUUCGGGAGAAGGCACGCUGGCGGUAGGUAAAGUCCCUCGCGGACGGCGCUGAAGCCAGUCGAAGAUACCAGCUGGCUGCAACUGUUUAUUAAAAACACAGCACUGUGCAAACACGAAAGUGGACGUAUACGGUGUGACGCCUGCCCGGUGCUGGAAGGUUAAUUGAUGGGGUCAGCCGUAAGGCGAAGCUCCUGAUCGAAGCCCCAGUAAACGGCGGCCGUAACUAUAACGGUCCUAAGGUAGCGAAAUUCCUUGUCGGGUAAGUUCCGACCUGCACGAAUGGCGUAAUGAUGGCCAGGCUGUCUCCACCCGAGACUCAGUGAAAUUGAACUCGCUGUGAAGAUGCAGUGUACCCGCGGCAAGACGGAAAGACCCCGUGAACCUUUACUAUAGCUUGACACUGAACAUUGAGCCUUGAUGUGUAGGAUAGGUGGGAGGCUUUGAAGUGUGGACGCCAGUCUGCAUGGAGCCAACCUUGAAAUACCACCCUUUAACGUUUGAUGUUCUAACCUAGGCCCAUAAACUGGGUCGGGGACCGUGUCUGGUGGGUAGUUUGACUGGGGCGGUCUCCUCCUAAAGAGUAACGGAGGAGCACGAAGGUUGGCUAAGCAUGGUCGGACAUCAUGCGGUUAGUGCAAAGGCAUAAGCCAGCUUGACUGCGAGAGUGACGGCUCGAGCAGGUACGAAAGUAGGUCUUAGUGAUCCGGUGGUUCUGAAUGGAAGGGCCAUCGCUCAACGGAUAAAAGGUACUCCGGGGAUAACAGGCUGAUACCGCCCAAGAGUUCAUAUCGACGGCGGUGUUUGGCACCUCGAUGUCGGCUCAUCACAUCCUGGGGCUGAAGUAGGUCCCAAGGGUAUGGCUGUUCGCCAUUUAAAGUGGUACGCGAGCUGGGUUUAGAACGUCGUGAGACAGUUCGGUCCCUAUCUGCCGUGGGCGUUGGAAGAUUGAGAGGGGUUGCUCCUAGUACGAGAGGACCGGAGUGAACGCACCACUGGUGUUCGGGUUGUCAUGCCAAUGGCAUUGCCCGGUAGCUAAGUGCGGAAGAGAUAACCGCUGAAAGCAUCUAAGCGGGAAACUUGCCUCGAGAUGAGUCUUCCCUGUCACUUUAAGUGACCUAAAGGAACGUUUAAGACUAAGACGUUGAUAGGCUGGGUGUGUAAGCGUAGCGAUACGUUGAGCUAACCAGUACUAAUGAACCGUGAGGCUUAACCUG
rnacentral:rRNA from 1 species